GUCAAUAGCUUUCUGGAAUUUUGGACCAUUCUUCCAAACUGAACUGGUGUAACUGGUCAAGUUGGUAGGCAGCCAUAUUUCAAUAUUUUCUAUGGUGCCCUGAAAUUUUCAAAAACCUAAAUCAGACCUAAUUAAGCAUCUAAAAUGCUGACCAUUUUAGUGAAGUUUGUUGUCUUUAUACAGUUAUUUGUUUGACUUUUUUCAAACUUCUUUUAUCUCAUCCAAGCUUUCCGUUUUCAUCUAUGAUUUAGGUGCUCAGUUUGUGAAACGGCCUCCAAAAUCAUAGCUUUCCAUAGCCAGAACACUCUGACACCUGAAUGUCCCAGAGGUUGGGAGACCCUGUGGMCUGGUUACUCGUUUAUAAUGCAAACCGGAGCGGGAGCAGAAGGCUCCUCCCAACCCCUGAUGUCUCCUGGGUCAUGCAUGGAAAAUUUCCGCCGAGUGCCUUUUAUUGAGUGUCACGGCAGAGGCACCUGCAAUUACUACCCUGAUUCCUACAGCUACUGGCUAGCCUCCCUUGACCGAAACAACAUGUUCAGUAAACCGGUUCCCCAGACUGUGAAAGGMUUUUCUCUAGAGAGAGUCAUCAGUCGUUGUCGGGUCUGCAGAAAAUCCUGAAACUGUGGCACUGGUGCAAACUGGAGAAGAUGUUUAAAUUCACAAUUUGUGAAAUAGAUGGAAGAAUUUUAGUAACAUGUAUUGGUUGUACUUUUAAAUACUUGGUCGUUUUACAUUUGUAUUACCAUCAUCUUUGGUGAUUAUUCUGUAUAUUCUGGAAAUGCACURAAUCUUGUAAUUCUGUGCUUCAGCACAAUGGGGACAUUACUACCGAGUUGGGUUUUUAAUACUGUUUUUUUUCACUUUAGUUUUCAUUUUCCUUUUCUUUAUAUUAUUUUCAUAAUAGGAGUUACAGACAGACAGGACAUUUAUUGUCAAAACAAACCCGAACUUUGACAACUYUUGGCAUUUAAACCCACUACACAGCCCAUGUUGUAAUUUUCACAAUAUGUUAAUUGAUUUUAUGAUGGGUUUUUUUUCCUUCCAAUAACUCUUUCACAACACUGACUAAAAUUUAUACUAAUAAAAAUAUCCCUCCUUA